CUCCCAGGGGCGCCUCCGCCCUCGCGCAGCCAGACCCCCACCAACCCAGCGCCUACUGGGCAGCCCCCUCCCAGGCUGAAUCCAGGUUCAACCCCCAGAUCAGCACCCCCGCGGGCAGCCCUCAGCGGCCGCGCGCGGUCGCCUAGGGAGGUGGGGCGGUGGAGACCAGGCACGUGGCUCGGGGUCCGGGCGGAGCGCACACCCCUCCCCGCCUGGUCCCCCGGCGCCGGCCCGUCCCCGCGGUGGCCGCGGCCGUGGGGGCAGAGGAAGGGAGGGCGGGGCGGCGCCCGCGGCAGCGCCGGGGAGGGGUCGCGCGGGGGCGGGCCGCGGGCUGGCGGGCGGGGGUCGGCGGGCUUCCGGGCGGCGGCGGGCGCGGCGCGAUGUGCGAGCGGGCGGCGCGCCUGUGCAGGGCCGGCGCGCACAGGCUGCUGCGGGAGCCGCCGCAGCAGGGCCGGGCGCUAGGCGGGCUGCUGCGCUGGGUGGGCGCCAGGAUGGGCGAGCCCCGGGUGCCGUUGGUCCCCGCCGCCCCUGACGCCCCCGCCAUAGACCCCGGCCCCUGCCCGGGCCCCGCCUCGCUGCGUGGGGGCACCGCUGUCAUCCUGGACAUUUUCCGCCGUGCGGACAAAAAUGAUGAUGGGAAGUUGUCCUUGGAAGAAUUCCAGCUCUUCUUUGCAGACGGCGUCCUUGACGAGACAGAGCUGGAGGACCUCUUCCACACCAUUGACUCGGAUGACACCAACCACGUGGACACCAAGGAGCUGUGUGAUUACUUUGUGGACCACAUGGGGGACUAUGAGGAUGUCUUGGCCUCCCUGGAGACCUUGAAUCAUUCUGUCUUGAAGGCCAUGGGCUACACUAAGAAGUUUCCUCCCCAUCCACAGGUAUACGAGGGCGGGAGCAACGUGGACCAGUUCGUGACCCGCUUCCUCCUGAAGGAGACGGCCAAUCAGAUCCAGUCGCUGCUGAGCUCCGUGGAGAGUGCAGUGGAGGCCAUUGAAGAGCAGACAAGCCAGAUCCGCCAGAACCACAGCAAGCCCGGCCCUGGCGCGGUGCAGACCUGGUAUGGAAGCCCCACUGCCCCCUAUGCCUCCAGCCACAAGCUCAUGGCCACGGAACAAGAGAAGAGCCUGCCUUCUGUUACCUCAGAGCCCAAGGAGGAGGGCCUGGAAGCCCAGAUCAGCCGUCUGGCAGAGCUAAUAGGACGGCUGGAGACCAAGACCCUCUGGUUUGACCUGCAGCAGCGCCUCUCGGAUGAAGAAGGCACCAACAUGCAUCUGCAGCUGGUCCGGCAGGAGAUGGCCGUGUGCCCCGAGCAGUUGAGCGAGUUCCUGGACUCCCUGCGCCAGUACCUGCGGGGCACCGCUGGAGCCAGGAACUGCUUCCACUUCUGCAGUUACCGCACUUAGAGGCACCAAAUCGCUCCAGUGACCUUUGUCGCAGAGAGAAGGGCCCCCAAGCAGCCCCUUCUGACUCUGGCAAAAGGCCAUGGCUCUGUCUGAUCAGUGGGCAGCUCUAGUACCCGGCCCCCAUCCUCUCAUCGAAUUACCAGCCCACAGCUCCGCCUGUAAUUUCAGCUACAGCGUAAUGAACUAAUGAUGCUAUUAGCAGCCUUGUUUCCCUGCUUCUAUCCCGGUGGCAAAACCCGGAGUUGCCUGUAAUCACACAGCAGCCCCCACCCAUGGCGGGGCCCUCCCCCCAAGGAAGUCUCGGGGGCUCUGUUCUGCUGAGCUGGUGAAAACAGAAGCAGCCGAGCAGCCGGGAGUGCAGGUGAGAGGCCAGAGGGGCAGUGUUACCGGCGACCUACUCUUGGAGGUCAGCCCUCAGUCCCCGCAGGCCUGCCACAUUCUUGGAAACACCCCCUUGCCUUGUCUCGAGGUCCAGGUAGCACCAGUCCUGUUUAAAUCGAGGUGCGUGGCCUGCCGCUGACAUGUCACACAGGUAACACAGGCGUGACCUGGGACCUUUAGGACCACCCACCCAGGGCAGGGCCCUCCCCCAGCCUCAGUGAGCCUAUUCUGACUCCCUGGAUUGUGUCAGGGAUUAAAUGAAGUGAUGGUUGUGAAGGAGAGCAUGAGAGGAGAAAAUGAAUAUUAGGCCUUUAAAAUGACAUUUUAUUAUAAUUCAUUCAAUAGACACAUAUUGGCCACGAUCUGGGGCCAGGCCUUGCUCCAGAUGGUGGGGUACAUGCUGAACCGAUUGGAUUCUGUGGCUGGUCUGGGAGGCUGUGGGUUGCUUCCAUCAGAAAGGCAGUAGCAUGAUGGGUCAUGGCCUUGGGCUGGUGACAAACUGGUUGCCUGUCCUGGAACAGCCCUGGGUGCUCCAGCCUCUGCCAGGCUCACGGUUCGAGGGGCAGGCCCCUGGGCGGCACGGGCUGGUCCACCAGUCCGACCUCUCCUCUCCCUGUGCAGCAUUGCCGCUGGGAGGCUGGCAGACGGCUUCACCUUUGUGGUCUACGAGUUCUGGGAGACCGAGGAGGAGUGGAAGAGGCACCUGCAGAGCCCCGUGUGC